rnacentral:rRNA from 1 species
GUAGUGACCUCCCGGAGGAUCAUUACCUAGAGUUUGUAGACUUCGGUCUGCUACCUCUUACCCAUGUCUUUUGAGUACCUUCGUUUCCUCGGCGGGUCCGCCCGCCGAUUGGACAACAUUCAAACCCUUUGCAGUUGCAAUCAGCGUCUGAAGGAACAUAAUAGUUACAACUUUCAACAACGGAUCUUGGUUCUGGCAUCGAUGAAGAACGCAGCGAAAUGCGAUAAGUAGUGUGAAUUGCAGAAUUCAGUGAAUCAUCGAAUCUUUGAACGCACAUUGCGCCCCUUGGUAUUCCAUGGGGCAUGCCUGUUCGAGCGUCAUUUGUACCUUCAAGCUCUGCUUGGUGUUGGGUGUUUGUCUCGCCUCUGCGUCCAGACUCGCCUUAAAACAAUUGGCAGCCGGCGUAUUGAUUUCGGAGCGCAGUACAUCUCGCGCUUUGCACUCAUAACGACGACGUCCAAGGGUACAUUUUUACACUCUUGACCUCGGAUCAGGUAGGGAUACCCGCUGAAACUCCAUCAUAUCAAUAACCGGAGGAA